CCCCGCGCCCGUCCGACCUCUGCGCUGGCCCCGCUGGGGAACUUCGCAGCAUCCUGAAUAGUAGCACCUGGGAACAGCACUGUCAUGAACAUACAAGCUUGAUCGAAUGGAUCUUGCUGGGAUUUGUUACCAAGGAGAGGACUGAAAUAAAAUAAGCUGGAAGAAUGUUGCUCUCAUUGAGUAAAUGUUUAUAUCUAAGUGUUUAUCAAAAC
rnacentral:lncRNA from 1 species